AGUGAACGCUGGCGGUAGGCCUAACACAUGCAAGUCGAACGGCAGCACAGUAAGAGCUUGCUCUUACGGGUGGCGAGUGGCGGACGGGUGAGGAAUACAUCGGAAUCUACUUUUUCGUGGGGGAUAACGUAGGGAAACUUACGCUAAUACCGCAUACGACCUACGGGUGAAAGCAGGGGAUCUUCGGACCUUGCGCGAUUGAAUGAGCCGAUGUCGGAUUAGCUAGUUGGCGGGGUAAAGGCCCACCAAGGCGACGAUCCGUAGCUGGUCUGAGAGGAUGAUCCGCCACACUGGAACUGAGACACGGUCCAGACUCCUACGGUAGGCAGCAGUGGGGAAUAUUGGACGAUGGGCGCAAGCCUGAUCCAGCCAUACCGCGUGAGUGAAGAAGGCCUUCGGGUUGUAAAGCCCUUUUGUUGGGAAAGAAAAGCAGCAGGUUAAUACCCCGCUGUUCUGACGGUACCCAAAGAAUAAGCACCGGCUAACUUCGUG
rnacentral:rRNA from 1 species